UACGAAGGGUGCUAGCGUUGUUCGGAAUUACUGGGCGUAAAGCGCGCGUAGGCUGUUUGACAAGUCAGAGGUGAAAGCCCUGGGCUCAACCCAGGAAUUGCCUUUGAGACUGUCAGACUAGAGUGUCGGAGGGGAUAGCGGAAUUCCUAAUGUAGAGGUGAAAUUCGUAGAUAUUAGGAGGAACACCGGUGGCGAAGGCGGCUAUCUGGACGACAACUGACGCUGAGGCGCGAAAGCACGGGGAUCAAACAGGAGUUA
rnacentral:rRNA from 1 species